UCAUAUCGAAGAAAACAAGUCCGCCAUCAUUGAGCAUUUUUAUAGAGCAGACGAAGGUUGAGUAAUGUUCGCCAUUUAUGUGAAGGAUUAUUUGUAUUGUACUUACAGCUUUAUGGUUGACAGAAAAACGCCUUUGAGAUUCAUGAAGGAACAGCCCUACCAUAUGUUUAAAAUGGAAUUUUAGAUUAAAAGGUGACCACACAAAAUGGAGUUUAGCUGUUGAUCUAAAUGCUGGGAAAAGACUUUAAGUGAAGUUUUCAGCUAUUUAAAGCCAUGGAAAAGCCACAAGUAAUUAAAGCCACAAGACUUCAAGGCUAAAUGCAUCAAUUGAUGUGUGUUUAAAUACAGACAUCCCUACUAGUAUGAGAAGCAAUUUUCCCUAAAUUAAACCACUUAAAUAACACUUAAUGGAGCAUAAAGAUGUCACAUCUCAUCAUUUUUGUGAAAAAAAAUUCUCAAAACUAAUAACAAAUUGGUGCUAAUAAGUCUAAACACAAAGUCAGACAUUCUGCCUGGUCUAGUCUUUCUUAGGCUCUCGUUGUUUCAUAAGAAUGUUUACCUAGCAGAUGCAGAAAGGGGUCUUUACAGUUAUAUCCUAUUAGGACAAGGAGUGAAAUAUGCAGUUAAUUUGUUGCUGCAAGCAAAGUCACAACUAUUUUUCUUAGUGUCCAAGAUCAGAUAAAGGUGAGAAUAUUGGUGGGUAUUGUUAUAAAGCCAUAUCGAAAGUAACUUUAUUUUUUGGGAUGAAAUCACUGGUUGAGUUUAUAGAGACUGAACAAAAGCAUUUCAGGGACUAAAAACUGCAGCUUCUAAGAUGGCUGAACAUUUGCAUGACUGUACCUUACAAAUUCCAAAUCCAUUAAAAACAGAGUCAGGCUAUAUUAAAAAACUCACCAAAGACAAUCAUGUUAGAGGAAUGUGAAUGACCACAUCUCCUAAACCAUUCACAAAACAUCCAGAAAAUCACCUGUGUAUUCAACUCAUUGGUGAACAAGCAAUAGACGCAAUCACUUUGGACAAUGGUACCUGGCUGAGAAAGGAACUCGUCCAGCCAUAAUCUAAUCAUGUCUAAACCAUGAACCUGGAAUCAACACGUUAUGACCAUGUCUGGGUAACCGGUCAGUUGGUGAGAGGGGAUCGUGUGAUAAACCAACUAACAUUCUUAGCGUUUAAGAAACUGGUUUUCUCCAAGAUAGGGAUCAGAAAAAGCAGAGAACAGAAAAAGAAGAUCCCUGAGUGGACACACGCUCUCACUCUCUCUCUCUCUCCAUCCAUUCUGCAAGUUUGAGUCCUGCCUGUCAUUUGACCAUCCACACGCCACAGGCAGUGUUCUUAAAAAUCAACCUAGCAACUGCUGUUGCCAGAAGAAAUUAUACAAAUCAUCCAGCAACAUCUUUAAAUUGUCUCGAUGCAAAAUCUGGAAGGACCAUCGAGCCCAGGCUGAAACUAUCCAAGUCAUCAAUCUACAAGGUCUGUGUACCACUGACUUUUACUGGACUUCUUAAAAAACUACUUAAUUCAUCCUCCCACUUUGUAAUAUUGUGUGUGUGUGAACCCUAGAAUGCGUGUGUGUCUGACAGUUGGAGCAUUUUUAUUAUCUUUAGGAAGAUCAGGUGUUAAGUACAAUAAAUACUACUUUCUUUUUAAAAACUUAAAAGAAAACCUGCCUCUGUGUGUCUUGUACACUCACAGCACUAAAACAUUAAACGCUCACUGAAUUGGCAAGCACAUUAUUUUUAAAAAACCUGUUGUGGUCAAACGACGAGUGGGAAAAGAGGGGAACCAUUCUACCCCUUCCCACCUGAUCGUAACAAUAUAAACAUAGUGACAGGGGAAAUAUUAGGGGCUAUAGCAUCUUUGAACAUGGAUAAACUACCAGGCCCAGAUAAGAUGAGUCCCAGGCUACUGAAAGAAGCAAGAGAGGAAAUAGCCUUUGACCAUCAUUUUCCUAUCCUUUCUGGCUGCAGGGGUCAUGCUAACAUCAAAUCGUUGUUUAAAAAGGAGGAUGGAAUAGACUGAGUAAUUACUGGCCAGUCAGCCUAACCUUGGUGGUGGGCAAAUUACAGGAAGAAAUUCUGAUGGACAGUAUAAAUUCUUAUCUAAAAAGACACAUUAAUCAAGGGUCAUCAGCAUGGAUUUGUUAAGUGAAAGUCAUGUCUGAACAACAUGAUUGAAUUUUUUGAGGAUGUACCAAAAGAGGAUCGAUGAGGGUAGUUUGUUUGAUAAAGUGUACCUGGAUUUUCACAAGGCUUUUGACAGGGUACCACAUGGCAGAAUUGUCAAAAAAGUGUUACAAUCCAGUUAGAGACCAGUAAACUUUUGUUUAAAGUAGACAAAGUUUGAAAUCCCAGUUGCCCAUGAGAUUCCACAGUUUUAAACAAACAAAAUAAAUUUUACUAUACAAAGUCAGAAAAGUAAAACAAUCUACAAUAUCUGUCUUGAGAUAGAUAAGACUGCAUUCCACAGGAUUCACAAAGCUAUACUUCUGCUUCUAAUUACCAGCACAAUUCCAACUCUUUUGCAGACUGCUAGCUUCACUAAGCUGGCACGGCUCCUGGGUUUCCCUGAACUCCAAUCUCCCGGCUGCACGGAGUUAUAAAUGGCUCCUAGAUCUUCUUCUGAGCCCUAACCCUCUCCAGCAUGGAACCAGCAACCUUCUACCACCUUCUCAGCUCCCCAGGACUUCUCCUGAGCCUGAACUACACCAAUUGCCUCCCAGGACCUCUGUGUGAGCUGCAAACCACACAAGGUCCAAAAUGCAACUCAGCAUUUCUCUCCCAGCAAAUACACAGAUAAAUUGAAACCAAAGAACCUUCUUAAGCUCCACCCAUUUCUAUGAUGACAUAGCCUUUCAGGGUUCACUGAAUGCUUUUCAAACUAAUGUAACUCUAACUCCCAAAACAAAACGUCUUUCUGGACUGCACUUCUUUGUAAGCAGUGUAGAUAUCACAUCUCCAGCUCCAGCUAAGUAAGCCCACCUUUUUAGAUCUUACCUUUCUAGCUGUUUACCCCUUAAAUGAACAUGAUCCCAACCUUUUAAGUAUAAUAGACUCUAAGCUGUUUUAAUUGCAUUUAUCCUAUUCUCUACAGUUAAACCUUAAUCUCCUCAGAGCUAAACAUUACCUCUAAAAUAUUAAUGUGAAUCAUGGACUAGAUUUUGUCACAUCUCCCUGCCAAAAGAAAAAUUAAAAUGCAUUACCAAUGUCAUGUGUUUCCAUUUACCAUUUAGAAUAUAUAGCAACUUACAACAUGUUAUACAUCUUAAAACUAUCCUAAGCAUGCAAUACGCACUAUAAUCAUCUCCCAUUGUCUGAUGAAAUUUGCAAGUCCAUCAGCACUCCACUGAAUUCCAUGUCCAGCUUAAGAUGAAAAAUAUUACUUUUUAUAACAUUUUCUGAAAGAUUUCUUCUUAAAAUAAUUAUAGUCCAACAGUCCAUUUGUAAAAUAAAUUUUCUCAUUGUUAUGCACCAAAGAAUUUUCAAGUUCAGUCUUUAAAAGUCUGUGCUGAUUUCAGCUUUUGAACUUAAUUGUCUUCCAUGUCUGCAGCAUUCUCAUCAUUAAGCGCCACAAAGAAGGUCUCAGUUAAGUCAAUAGUUAAGUUGUCUCCUUCUUCUUCAGCUGUAAGCGUAUCUUCAUUUUCCAGGCUCAAACAUCUGUCAGGAAGGGGCUGUUUCAUUUUGUAAAUAGUUUGUUGAACUAAAACAACCAUGAUUGAUCUAAAACUUAAAUUUAAUCUGAACUAGUUAGUCUAUAAAUGUUCAGUGAGCCGAGUCAGGCAGCAUAUACUUAUACUUACGCUAAAAGGUAUAUCCCAGAUGGUUCCUAACAAGGAUGUUAGGAAUUAAUUUGGUUCCUCAGCAUAUAUUUUUCAGGAUUCCAAAACCCAUUUUACACUUGGCAAGGUGUUGAAGCAGCAGCAGGAUGCAGAGGCACCACUCUCAUACACAGACACAUUUGUCCACAGUGGGAAUCCCUAAAGCUGAGGCCUAGGUCCAAGUUCAAACUCCAGCACUAGGCAUGGAAUAGAAAGGUAAUCUAUAUGAGGGGAACUUCCUGCUGGAAUUGAUCAAAUUAAAGAAUUGUAUAAUGUUUAUGUAUUUGUCAUGUUAUAAUUUUUAUUUAUAUUUGUAUACACUGAUCUCUGAGUAAAAUGGAUAAAUGACAGAUAAAA